rnacentral:rRNA from 1 species
GACGUAGGGCGCGAGCGUUGUCCGGAUUUAUUGGGCGUAAAGAGCUCGUAGGCGGCUUGUCGCGUCGACUGUGAAAUCCCGCGGCUCAACUGCGGGUCUGCAGUCGAUACGGGCAGGCUAGAGUUCGGUAGGGGAGACUGGAAUUCCUGGUGUAGCGGUGAAAUGCGCAGAUAUCGAGAGGAACACCAGUGGCGAAGGCGAGUCUCUGGACGACUCCUGACACUGAGGCACGAAAGCCAGGGGAGCAAACAGGG